AAUGAACGUUGGCGGCAUGGAUUAGGCAUGCAAGUCGAGCGAGAACUCUAAGAUUGAAACUUCGGUCGAUUUCUUAGAGGGACAGCGGCGAAAGGGUGAGUAACGCGUAGUUACCUGCCCGAGGGUCCAGAAUAGCUUCGGGAAACUGAAGGUAAUGCUGGAUAAUAUCUCCGGAUCAAAGGUGAGAUUCCGCCCUCGGAGGGGACUGCGUCCUACUAGCUUGUUGGUGGGGUAAUGGCCUACCAAGGCAACGAUGGGUAGCGGGCGUGAGAGCGUGGCCCGUCACACUGGGACUGAGACACUGCCCAGACACCUACGGGUGGCUGCAGUCGAGAAUCUUCGGCAAUGCGCGAAAGCGUGACCGAGCAAUGCCGCGUGCGGGAUGAAGGCCCUCGGGUUGUAAACCGCGAAAGUAAGGAGGAAGGCUCUGUGAAGAGCGGAGUUUGACCAAUUUACAGUAAGGACGGGCUAAGUUCGUGCCAGCAGCCGCGGGUAAAGUAGACGUCU
rnacentral:rRNA from 1 species